GGGGUCGCAAAGGUUUCGACGGGGAUCGUGAGCCUUGGUAAGCGAGUAGCGGUGCAGAACCGCUAUAAAAUCUGCAACCUUUUAAAACAAACGACAACAAUAAAGUUGCUCUCGCGGCCUAAUUAGGCUGCCGUCUCUGCCCGAAGUACCGCGGUCGGGACAGAGGCGUCAUGCAGCGGUGAACGUGAACGGACGGAUGUCGCUCCGCCCGUCAUGACGCAGCGACUACCGUAACCCGAAGCCUGCCCACCGGCGUCGGGUGAGGGGAAUCCCAAAAGACGGGCUGCACUCGGAGAAAGCUAGGGUAAGUGGUUUUCGGACAGGGGUUCGAUUCCCCUCGACUCCACCA
rnacentral:tmRNA from 1 species